rnacentral:lncRNA from 1 species
GACGGAGUCCCCGGCUUCAGUUUGUAGGGUUCCCUCUCCAUGGGAUCUUGCAACGAGAACAUCCUGAUCAGGAAUGUGCGUGGGCUCAACUCACGUGCCCGUCGCCUUUCUGUGUGGGAUGUUGUGCGUGGGAUGUUGUGCAUGACGAGUGUGUUUCCCUUUGUAUUGUUGAAACUAAGUUGGGUGUGGUUCCCUCUCUCUUUGUUUUGGAAAUGCUAGGGCCUGAUUUCGACUUUUACUUCCUGCCUGCGGUUGGUCGGAGUGGGGGCGUGUUCUUGG